rnacentral:rRNA from 1 species
GACGAACGCUGGCGGCGUGCUUAACACAUGCAAGUCGAACGGAAAGGCCCUGCUUGCAGGGUACUCGAGUGGCGAACGGGUGAGUAACACGUGGGUGAUCUGCCCUGCACUUCGGGAUAAGCCUGGGAAACUGGGUCUAAUACCGGAUAGGAGCCAUUUUUAGUGUGAUGGUUGGAAAGUUUUUUCGGUGUAGGAUGAGCUCGCGGCCUAUCAGCUUGUUGGUGGGGUAAUGGCCUACCAAGGCGGCGACGGGUAGCCGGCCUGAGAGGGUGGACGGCCACAUUGGGACUGAGAUACGGCCCAGACUCCGACGGGAGGCAGCAGUGGGGAAUAUUGCACAAUGGGCGCAAGCCUGAUGCAGCGACGCCGCGUGGGGGAUGACGGACUUCGGGUUGUAAACUCCUUUCGCUAGGGACGAAGCUUUUUGUGACGGUACCUAGAUAAGAAGCACCGGCUAACUACGUG